UACGGGGGGGGCAAGCGUUGUUCGGAAUUACUGGGCGUAAAGGGCUCGUAGGCGGCCAACUAAGUCAGACGUGAAAUCCCUCGGCUUAACCGGGGAACUGCGUCUGAUACUGGAUGGCUUGAAUCCGGGAGAGGGAUGCGGAAUUCCAGGUGUAGCGGUGAAAUGCGUAGAUAUCUGGAGGAACACCGGUGGCGAAGGCGGUUCUCUGGGCAUUACCUGACGCUGAGGAGCGAAAGUGUGGGGAGCGAACAGG
rnacentral:rRNA from 1 species